rnacentral:tRNA from 1 species
UAGCCUAGUGGUUAAGGCUAUGGAUCGCCAAUCCGGAGACGGCGGGUUCGAUUCCCAC